rnacentral:tRNA from 1 species
GGGGCUGUAGCUCAGUUGGGAGAGCGCUUGAAUGGCAUUCAAGAGGCCGGCGGUUCGAACCCGCUCAGCUCCACCA